GUGGGGAAUUUUGGACAAUGGGCGCAAGCCUGAUCCAGCAAUGCCGCGUGCAGGAAGAAGGCCUUCGGGUUGUAAACCUCUGUCCUUGGUGACGAAAAAAAUGACGGUAGCCAAGGAGGAAGCCCCGGCUAACUACGUGCCAGCAGCCGCGGUAAUACGUAGGGGGCGAGCGUUGUCCGGAAUUACUGGGCGUAAAGGGUGCGUAGGUGGCCUUUUAAGUUGGAUGUGAAAUACCCGGGCUUAACUUGGGGGGUGCAUCUAAUACUGGAGGGCUAGAGUGCAGGAGAGGGAAGCGGAAUUCCUAGUGUAGCGGUGAAAUGCGUAGAUAUUAGGAGGAACACCAGUGGCGAAGGCGGCUUUCUGGACUGUAACUGACACUGAGGCACGAAAGCGUGGGGAGCAAACAGGAUUAGAUACCCCAGUAGUCC
rnacentral:rRNA from 1 species